rnacentral:rRNA from 1 species
AACGAACGCUGGCGGCGUGCCUAACACAUGCAAGUCGAACGAAAAGUCCGGGUUUUUUUGCGCACGUCGACGGGAGGCGUGGGAAGUUGCCCUUGAGUACCGUAUAACUCCCCGAGAGGGAUCUUAAUGACAGAUAGUGUCUUAGCACCUAAGAUCUAUUGCCUCUGGAUGGGCGCGGGUUAGAUUCGCUAGUUGGUAGGGUAAUAGCCUAUCAUGGGCUUGAUCCCUAGCUGGUCUGAGAGGAGGACUAGCAACGCUGGGACUCAGACACGGCCCAGACUCGUACGGAAGGGAGGAGAGGGGAAUAUUGUACAAUGGGGGAAGGCCUGAUACAGCAGUGCGGCGUAAGUGGUGAAUGCCGUAGGGUUGUAAUGCUCUUUUAGCCGAGAUGAUAGUGACGGUACCGGGAGAAUAAGCUCCGGCUAACUACGUG